rnacentral:lncRNA from 10 species
AUGAGUAGAAUGGCCACAGAAUUGUGUCCAAAGAAUGAAGAAGCAAAACAGUCUUGGAGCCUUAGGAGCAAAACAUCUCCAUUACUAAUAUCCUCCCAAGCCCACCAAGCCUCAGCCAGGAAUGGUUCCCCACUUGUGAAGUGUCUGAUAAGUCCUUCCUUCCUUCCUUCAUGCCGGGCGGUGCGCGUGCCUCCUCUUCCUUCCUUCCUUUUCUUUCCUUCCUUCCUUCUUUCCUCCCUUCCUUCCUUCUUUCCUCCCUUCCUUCCUUCUUUCCUCCCUUCCUUCCUUCUUUCCUCCCUUCCUUCCUUCUUUCCUUCCUUCCUUCUUUCCUCUCUUCCUUCUUUCCUUCCUUCCUUCCUUCCUUCCUCUCUCUCUCUUUCUUUCUUCUUUCUUUCAAUCUUUCUUUCUUUCUUCUUUCUCUCUUUCUCUCUCUCUCUCUCUCUUUUUACACAGUCUCACUCCGUUGCCCAGGCUGGAGUGCAGAGACACAAUCUCAGCUCACUGCAACCUCUGCCUCCCAGGUUCAAGCAGUUGUGCCUCAGCCUCCUGAGUAGCUGGGAUUACAGGUACUCGCCACCACAUCCAGCUGAUUUUUGUUUUUUUAGUAGAGGUGGGGUUUCGCCAAGUGGCCAGGCUGGUCUCAAACUCCUGACCUCAGGUAAUCUGCCCACCUCAGCCUCCCAAAGUGCUGGGAUUACAAGUGUGAACCACCACACCUGGCUCAUUCAUUCAUUUAUUCAUCUGUGUGUGAGGCAAACCACAAGUCAUCAGCGUCACAGGAAAACAAAAACAGACACACAACAGAAGAAACCACGCCGGUGAGGUCAGCAGGGGACAGGGAGACCCUCCCUGCAGGAGCUGCUGCUAGAGGGAAAGGCAGCGUUGGAUCCGACGCCGGCCCCAGCCUGGGAGACCUGCUUCCUCUGCGACCUGUGUUCAGGAGCGAAGUGUUGAGACCAGAAUCGUUCGGAUGCAGGGCUGGUCCCUGUUGAUUUAUGACUCAGGCAAACAGUCCAUUCAUCCGUCCGCGGCUCCACUUCUAUCCCCAGCUUACUGGAGGCAGAAGAAUGUCCCCGGGGAAGUGGUCUGAGCUGCUUCCUGUGGUCGCCCCAUUGCUCGGGGUGGGGGAUCCUAUUUUUAGAGGGCCACCAUUGCUAUGAAGGUCCAGCCAGCUCAUCGGCACCGUGUGGCAUGGUGGGACGCAGCACUGAAAUUCGAGGGGGAGCUGGGCAUUCAUAGAUGUUUCUUACAAAUGAGAGAGGCCCUGAUUCUAAGGCUCCAUUUCCUCCUCUGUAGGUGGAAGAUAGCGGAGACUAUGCAGGGAGGCUCAGCUGCACCUGACACACAACAGAGGUUCUCCAGGAACAGGAGAUGAAUGAGUACAAAAUCAAAGAGGUGAUUUCCCUCUUCCUCCAGCAGACAAACCCAGAACAGCAAAGAUCCCUUGAUGAACUAAUGUAACCAUAUAAGGCAAAUUGUACCCCCUUGUCUGUCUUUCGUUCUCCCCCAGGCACACUUGCCAGCUUCCUCUUUCUAUGUCCUCCUGGGCAUAUCCAGCCUUCAUCAUGAAGUCGUGUCUAUUUUCCACUUGCACACUUUCCUGGAAGACUCUUGGACAGCGUAUCAAGAUCUCUCAUUUUCUGGCUUGAACUCACUGCAGACUCAUCUUGUGGCAAAGCUCACCACCCACCAUGCCGGGCCUUGUCAGUGCCCUGGGGCAGCGUGGAUGGGCUGCCCACGCUCUCAACUAACAGACGGCAGCAAAGGCCAUCACCUCCUUCUGAAGGAAUCAGAAGCUGGAACCAGGCCAGUGUAGGGUGGGACCAGAACUGAUGCCUGGACACAUGACCAUAGACUGUCCUUGCUGCUGGAGAGCUGGGGACCGCGCCAUAGGAGGUUAUGUGUGGUUAUCGCCUGUGAGCCACCAAGACCUUCAUUUCCUCAUCUGCCUUUACUUUGUGUCUCCUCUGAACGUGAUCCUGUGUUCUGGGUUUUUUUUUUUUUUUUUGAAAUGGCAGCAUUUCAAAUAUGCUGUUUUUUACCAUCAAUCAUUUCUUGCCAGCUGGGUGCAGUGUGUGACACCUGUCAUCCCAGCCCUUUGGGAGGGCGAGGGGGGGGGGUGGAUCACAAGGUCAAGAGUUCGAGACCAGUCUGGCCAACAUGGUGAAACCCCGUCUCUACUAAAAAUAUAAACAUUAGCCAGGCGUGGUGGCCUGUGCCUGUAGUUCCAGCUACUCAGGAGGCUGAGUCACACGACUUGCUUGAACCCAGGAGGUGGAGGUUGCAGUGAGCCAAGAUUGUUCCACUGCACUCCAGCCUGGGUGAUAGAAUGAGAAUCUGUCUCAAAAAAAAGAAAAAGAAAAAAGAAAAAAAGUUUCUUGCCUUGGUUUGAGUUGCCAGAAGCAAACUCUCGAUCAAGGGUUCGUGUAUCUGGGAGGUGAUCCCUGGCCAUGCCUGUAGGAGGGUGGGAGGGGAGGCAGGGAAGGGAAGGGCCCAUUGAGGGCAUGUGAUCCCAACCAGCGUCACUCAGGGCAUUUGGACCCAAAUCCUGCUGGGGGCCCUGGACAACAGCAUAGACACCUGCCCCAGUUACCCCAGCUCCCUUCAGUCAGUGGCCGAGAGAUGUUCGGGGACAGCUGUGGCUGGGACCUGAUGAUCCACCAGCUCUGGGGCAAGGCACAGUCAGGCACAUUGAUGCCUCCUGGGCUCCAAGGGGCACCGUAGGAGGCUCAGGUGGUUGGGGGUGCUCCCAGGACAGAGGUGGGUGCUCCUGGGAGCACAGAGGGGUGGGACUUUGAGAGUUAGGCCAGGAAUCUGGGCAGGGAUCCUGCACGCCAAGGUGAGAGAAGCCAGAGCAGUACCAGGACCCAAGCCUCCUCUGGUGCCAGGCCCUGGCUGCACUGCUCCUGUUCCCGCUCCUGUGCCCCUGCAAGGAGGGCAUGCUGUUCACUGCUACUUGAGGCUCAAAGAGGGUAUCUAUGACCUGUCAGUGAACGGACCAGAGUAUAGGGAAGUGGAUGGGAGGGGGGCUGGAGGGGCAGGGCAGCUGCUGAGGGGUCUUGCUUAUCAUGGUAAGUGCCACUGUGUGAUGCUGGGUCCUGGACUCUGAAAGCCAGGGGGAAACACUUGCCUGGACUUUAUCCUAUAGGUGGGCAGUAUCCACUGAGGGCUUUGUUUGGAGCAUAGAGUGAUAAAAACUGGGCUUUGGGUCAGCAGAAGGCCGUGAAUGAGGUUCCCAUCACCUGUGCCCUACCUCGCCUUGGCUGUCCACUGGUCAAUCGCCUCCUGGGGCUGUCCCCACAGAACUCUGCCAGCAUCCCUGGCAAGCACGUGUUUGGCAUGGGCUCG